GACGAACGCUGGCGGCGUGCUUAGCACAUGCAAGUCGAACGGAAAGGCCCUGCUUUUGUGGGGUGCUCGAGUGGCGAACGGGUGAGUAACACGUGAGUAACCUGCCCUUGACUUUGGGAUAACUUCAGGAAACUGGGGCUAAUACCGGAUAGGAGCUCCUGCUGCAUGGUGGGGGUUGGAAAGUUUCGGCGGUUGGGGAUGGACUCGCGGCUUAUCAGCUUGUUGGUGGGGUAGUGGCUUACCAAGGCUUUGACGGGUAGCCGGCCUGAGAGGGUGACCGGCCGCAUUGGGACUGAGGUGCGGCCCAGACUCCUACGGGAGGCAGCAGUGGGGAAUAUUGCACAAGGGGCGGAAGCCUGAUGCAGCAACGCCGCGUGCGGGAUGACGGCCUUCGGGUUGUAAACCGCUUUCGCCUGUGACGACGCGUGAGUGACGGUAAUGGGUAAAGAAGCACCGGCUAACUACGU
rnacentral:rRNA from 1 species